GCGUCGGUGGCGGAGCAGCAAACGCACGUGACUGUAGAUCACGCGGACUAUGUCCUUCGGGGGUGCAAGUCCCUCCCGGCGCACCA
rnacentral:tRNA from 1 species